AACGCGUUGAUGAUAUGCGACAACCGUAAACUUAUCCGAUUCGUCGAUGCAAGGUUCAGUGGCUCCAAUCACGAUUCAUGCAUUUUUAGUAUGAGCCCAGCUUUUAAGUUUUCCGAAAGGAAAUGAAGCGAUGGAGACCUUGCUGAAGAGAUGGAAAUGUUCAAAUUGUUGGGUGACUCUGCUUAUCCUGCGAAGCCAUGGUUGAUAAAGCCCAACAGAAAUGCUGCACCUAAUCCACCUGAGGCAAAAUUCAAUCAGAGACAUGCACAAGCUCGUGCCGUGAUUGAAAACGCAUUUGGUGUUCUGAAAGGAAAGUUCAGAUGCCUCCUUGGAGACAGACUGCUACGAUAUUCUCCAUCCAAAUGCGUGCGGAUCAUUAACGUCUGCUGUGCCCUGCACAAUCUUUGCAUAAUGAAUAACAUGCCAGAAAAUGAUUGUUAGAUAAUCACCACUAUUGGGCUUAGCUAUCACUGAAUUGUUCAUUACCACUAGCAGGAUAGUCAGUCGGGCACGGUUCAUACCAGGCUUGACCCAUGACGGACAUAAAGUUAAAGUUAUGUUUGUGUCUAAUGUUUAUGGGAAAUAA